rnacentral:rRNA from 1 species
AGAGUUUGAUCCUGGCUCAGAUUGAACGCUGGCGGCAUGCCUUACACAUGCAAGUCGAACGGCAGCACGGGAGCAAUCCUGGUGGCGAGUGGCGAACGGGUGAGUAAUAUAUCGGAACGUGCCCAAUCGUGGGGGAUAACGCAGCGAAAGCUGUGCUAAUACCGCAUACGAUCUACGGAUGAAAGCGGGGGACUCAGCAAUGGGCCUCGCGCGAAUGGAGCGGCCGAUAUCAGAUUAGCUAGUUGGUGGGGUAAAGGCUCACCAAGGCGACGAUCUGUAGCUGGUCUGAGAGGACGACCAGCCACACUGGAACUGAGACACGGUCCAGACUCCUACGGGAGGCAGCAGUGGGGAAUUUUGGA